rnacentral:rRNA from 1 species
GAGUUUGAACCUGGCUCAGGAUGAACGCUGGCGGCGUGCCUAAUACAUGCAAGUCGAACGAAACUUCUUUAUCACCGAGUGCUUGCACUCACCGAUAAAGAGUUGAGUGGCGAACGGGUGAGUAACACGUGGGCAACCUGCCCAAAAGAGGGGGAUAACACUUGGAAACAGGUGCUAAUACCGCAUAACCAUAGUUACCGCAUGGUAACUAUGUAAAAGGUGGCUAUGCUACCGCUUUUAGAUGGGCCCGCGGCGCAUUAGCUAGUUGGUGGGGUAAAGGCUUACCAAGGCAAUGAUGCGUAGCCGAACUGAGAGGUUGAUCGGCCACAUUGGGACUGAGACACGGCCCAAACUCCUACGGGAGGCAGCAGUAGGGAAUCUUCCACAAUGGGCGAAAGCCUGAUGGAGCAACGCCGCGUGGGUGAAGAAGGUCUUCGGAUCGUAAAACCCUGUUGUUAGAGAAGAAAGUGCGUGAGAGUAACUGUUCACGUUUCGACGGUAUCUAACCAGAAAGCCACGGCUAACUACGUGCCAGCAGCCGCGGUAAUACGUAGGUGGCAAGCGUUAUCCGGAUUUAUUGGGCGUAAAGGGAACGCAGGCGGUCUUUUAAGUCUGAUGUGAAAGCCUUCGGCUUAACCGGAGUAGUGCAUUGGAAACUGGGAGACUUGAGUGCAGAAGAGGAGAGUGGAACUCCAUGUGUAGCGGUGAAAUGCGUAGAUAUAUGGAAGAACACCAGUG